AUUGAACGCUGGCGGCAUGCCUUACACAUGCAAGUCGAACGGCAGCACGGGGGCAACCCUGGUGGCGAGUGGCGAACGGGUGAGUAAUACAUCGGAAUGUACCCAGUAGUGGGGGGAUAACUAGUCGAAAGAUUAGCUAAUACCGCAUACGCACUAUGGUGGAAAGCGGGGGAUCGCAAGACCUCGCGCUAUUGGAGCAGCCGAUGUCCGAUUAGGUAGUUGGUGGGGUAAAAGCCUACCAAGCCUGCGAUCGGUAACUGGUCUGAGAGGACGACCAGUCACACUGGGACUGAGACACGGCCCAGACUCCUAUGGGAGGCAGCAGUGGGGAAUUUUGGACAAUGGGGGAAACCCUGAUCCAGCAAUGCCGCGUGUGUGACGAAGGCC
rnacentral:rRNA from 1 species